GAAAUGCGAUAAGUAAUGCGAAUUGCAGAAUUCCAGUGAGUCAUCGAAUCUUUGAACGCACAUUGCGCCCUUUGGUAUUCCGAAGGGCAUGCCUGUUCGAGCGUCAUUAUCACCCCUCAAGCCCCCGGCUUGGUGUUGGACGGCUUGGUGGAGACCCCCUCGCGGGCGUCCCACCCCUCCCAAAGACAAUGACGGCGGCCUCGUUGGACCCCCGGUACACUGAGUUCUUCACGGGACACGUAUCGGACACACGGGUUUACGGGCCACGGUCUGCCUCCCCUCAGGGAGAAUCUUAUCAAGGUUGACCUCGGAUCAGGUAGGGAUACCCGCUGAACUUAA
rnacentral:misc_RNA from 1 species